rnacentral:rRNA from 1 species
CAGCAGCCACGGUAAUACGAAGGGUGCAAGCGUUACUCGGAAUUACUGGGCGCAAAGCGUGCGUAGGUGGUGGUUUAAGUCCGUUGUGAAAGCCCUGGGCUCAACCUGGGAAUUGCAGUGGAUACUGGGUCACUAGAGUGUGGUAGAGGAUAGUGGAAUUUCCGGUGUAGCAGUGAAAUGCGUAGAGAUCGGAAGGAACAUCUGUGGCGAAGGCGACUAUCUGGGCCAACACUGACACUGAGGCACGAAAGCGUGGGGAGCAAACAGGAUUAGAUACCCCUGUAGUCCCUGUCUCUUAUAC